rnacentral:lncRNA from 1 species
AUGCAUUAUAUGUUCCUUUGUUUCUUCCACAUUCUUCUGGUUGGAUUGGCAUUGAUUCAUAGCAAAUUCAUUCCCCAAGGAAAAGGCUUUGCUAAUACAAGAAUGUUAAACAAUACACAGAUCAUCAGAGUUUAUUUUCUUCGUUUUGUUGGUGACAUUGGCCCCUGUGCGCCUAUAAUCAAUAGGAGCUUGCUAUUUCCUUGCUGUGGAACACUUGCCAUAACACAUUGCCUUCCCUUCCUGUCUUCCUCAGGGCGAUCUUUCUCUCUCAACCAAUACUGCUGUAGCCGGCCUCCCAAGGACAGCAGAGGCUAUGUUUCCAGCCUGUCCAGGCAUGUCCAGGGGCCAACCUGGGAGCCCAACAUUGCCAUCCGGAGCAGCAGAGAGCCAGAGCUGUGGGCACCGGCACUGCUCUGUCAAUGGAGAAGACUGGGAAGACAUUGCAGGGAACACGUGCAAAGCCAUGGAGUCAGGUUAUGAUCACACCUCACCAAGGCUGCCAGGAUCCUGCUCUAUUCGGGAGUAAUUUGGUGGGGAGGAGGGGAUGGGAAGGACGUGUAGCUACAGUUCCUGAAAUUCUGGGAUUAGAGACUGAGUCGAUUAAAAAGUAACUUUAUUACCAUUUCUGUGACUCUGUUUUCCUCCAGGUUUGGUAUGGGGAAAUACGAGAUUCAUGAUAUGAAUGAUAAAAAUGCAUUUGUUCAAUUAUCUGUGCUUUUUUCCCCCAAAUAAAAUUUUGACUCUAAAUUACUCCA